CUUUGCUUUUUAAAUUUUACUUAUUAGAUUUUUUUCCAUUUUUGUAAAUUUUACCCAACUGAUCUAUUUGGCUUUGUCACUGUACUUUUUCUAGUCUGUUUAAGCUGUUUUGUCAUAAGCUGCUGUAAUUCUUUGCCAACUUUUAGAAUAAACACAUCCUGUCUUACUAUACUUAGAAAAUACAACAGGGAAAAUCAGCAGGUCCUCAGCUGAAAAGAUAGAAAAGAAUAAUUUUUCCAAAAUAAAUGAGCUAAAUUACAGAUUAAUAUCGAAAUAGCUCACUGACCAAACUUUUCAGCUGCAAACAAUUAGGAGCAAAUGAAACAAAAUCCUCAAUGGAACCACCUCAACACAAAGAUCUCAAUGUUAUACAAUGUUAUCCUGCACACACCUUGUCAAAGCACUGCUGCUCACCAUAAAAACAAACAACCUGACUUUAACAGUCAGAAAGCACCUGAAAGCACCAUCAGGAAGUCCCUGUUAGUAAACUGAAUUAGUUUGUGUUGUGGUUCAACAAAUGCAUCUUGGGGGAAUUUUAGGCUAAGACUUCAGAGAAAGAACCUGAAGACGUCUAACACCGCCUCCUACUGGUCAGUGUCAGGAACAAACGUCUCCAAUCACAGUGAGAACAAAUCUUUUAAAUUCACCGCAGCCUGCUUUAAACAGCAGAACAAAACCAUUACCUAACUGUUACAUUAUUAAACCUUAAUUUUCAUUCACAUGUUUUUCUUUUUGGAUUUUUUUGAAACAACCCACUGCUUUUCCACGCCAAGGCUCUGACAGGUGUGAAAGCAUUUUAGAACAUUUAAGGAAAACAUCUGCCGCACCAGCUGAAGCUGAAUGCAACCACAAGCACGUCCGACCUCGCCGACCUGUCCUCGCCAAGCGGCUGCGCAUCAUAACUCAGAAAUCUGCAGCUGCCCGACAUGAAGAAGACGAGUGAGGGAGCAACACGGCUUUCUAAAGUCCUUCAACAGACUGGUGGCCUGUCCAGGAUAUAUCCUGCCUCUCUCCCAACGGCUCCAGCCACCUGCGACUCAAAUAAGUGGAAGAAAGAGGAUGCAUGGAUGGACUUCAUUCCUUUAUAAUUGGACAAAUCACUUACAAGUAUCCUUGAUUACAAGUAAUAAUCAAUAAUCAAACCAUAUGAGUCCAUAUGAGGCUCUGUGACCUCAUAAAAAGCUCUGCAUGCUGCAUCUGAUCGUGCAGGCUAUAUGAUAAAAUGUGGCUGUUGCUGUUUCUCUUAUCACAAAUCUCCAGGAUGUUUAUUUGAAAGCUUUUUAUUAACGUUUUUGUCUAAAAAAGGUAGGAAUUUCCAAUUAUUUAAAUGUUUAAAUAUCCACAUUUUCCAUAUUGUUUUAAAGAUUUUAGUACCAAUUUAUUCCCAGACCCUCAGUGGCCUGUCCAGUGCUUUUCUGCCAGGCUGCAACAGAAACACGAGGUUUUAUUUAUUAUCAUUAAUCAGAAUCAGAGAGACUUUAUUUAUCCCCAAGGGGCAAUUAAGAUACAACAGAGCAGCAAAAACUAUACUGCAAACACAGCCUGAAAAACAUCCUAAAGUCUGUUGAACACAAAGCCUGACCCGGAUGGUAGAUCGGUUUGAAAGAUAGCGUCGAGCAAGACGUGACUAUUCCCCGUUUCAUCUGCACAGAGCAGCAGAAAGAGUGAAAGUCACAGAAUAACAAGCACUGGUACUAAUAUCUGCCCUACAAAAUAACCCACAUAGGCUGAAUCCCAGAAAUCUGACAGAGCCUGGAGGGCCGGCCAACUCUGAGUCUGCUGCGAUUUAACUGAAGCUCUUUUUCCAUCUGCUGGAAAUCAACACCAGAGGAUGUUGUUGUGCUGCUGCUGCGGGCCUGGCUGAUGUUUUACGGCUCCCCGAGGACGGUGACGCUAACAGUCCGCAUUACGUUCUUAUUUUCUCACACAGAAACACUCGUGCUUUUACUGAGAGACUGCACCCCCUGACCUACAGAAGAAGUUUCACAGAAGUAUGUGAGGAGGGCAGAUCCAAACGUCACUAACCAAAGACAGAUUCCCAUCACGACGAGGGUAAAAUUAAAAUUAGGGCAGUGACAUCAGCGGCUUAUUUUAGUCCUGCUGACACUGAGCAGUGCAGAAAGUUCUUUAUUCCUCCUGUCAGGAGGCCAUUUAGCAAGGCAUUAAAGCUGGGUGGUUAUCCUGGGUUGCUGCCAGGCUCUCAAUGUUUCCUGCAGUGCUUCACGAACAAUAAACCUGAAACAAAUAAAAGCCAAAGGGAGAGCCAGACAUAGACUGGAUAUCGAGUUAUGCAACAAGAGGAAAAUAACAAGCCCAUAAAUCACGAUAAACUGAUUAAUACAAGAAAAAAAAUAAAGAUUCAUGUUCAAAACCCUCCUCCUAAUGAAAUCAGCUAAAUCUGUAAAAUUCAACUUCAGUGACACAAACACCAGCGUUCACAGCUGUUGAUUCAUGGUGUGCAGAACUGCACAGAGCACAGGUUUUCUUCUACCUCAGAUAAAGGCUCAGAGCUGAGGACAGACAGAAGCCUAAAGAACACAUUCAACCAAUCUUGGCACAGUUUAAUCGCACCUGUGAGCUGCCUUCUAUUAUAAAUAACAAUAAAACCAGUAAAAUCUUUUCUUAUUUCUGUAAUCUGAAGGCCUGAGUGAGCGUGAGUCAUACAGAGAAAAGGUCUGGCUUCCUCUACUUCCUGUCGUCUGAGGUUGACAGCUUCUAAGCAGCACAGACAGCUGAGGUCAGGCGUCUGUGCUGCUUCAUGUCUCUGUGAAGCCAGCACACUGUAACGACAGCUAAUGGGAGCAGAUUAUAGAAAGCGAGGCCUUUAUUCUUUCAUUUCACAUGUAGCGAUUGGUUCUUGGUGCAGACAUGUCGUGCUGUGAAGUCAGAUUAACUCAAGAGCCGACCUGAGCGCUCCCACUGUUACAGCAAUAUUAUGUGGCUGUUGGACAUAUUUCAUUUUAAACAUGCAGGAUGCGUAUCUGUACCACAUCUUUAAGAUAUUUGGAGCAUAUUUUAAGUAAGACCUUUUUAAAAUCACUCACAGGCUUAAACGGGUUGAUAUUAAUCUUGGUCAGUGUGCUAGUGAUCCCUGUGAGUCCAAAGCUUGAAGCCUAAACAGUUUUUUUCUACUCUUGACUCUGUGUGAUGUCACUAAGAGUCAAAGAUCCCCUAAUAUGGUUAUCCCAGGCACAGAAGCCCCACCCAGCCAAUCAGAAGACAGGGACCUUAAAAGAGACAGGAGAUUGCCUGUACAAAGGCCGAGUAUAAGAUAAACAGGGAUUAUUUUAAACUGCGAAUCAUGCAAAGCUCAUGUGGAAAGGUCAGAGCAAAAACAUGGAGUUGUAAAGAACCAUAACAGGUCCCUUUAACAACAGCAU